CAGGGAAUCACCUGGGAACCUUGUUAAAAUGCAGAUUUUGAUUCAGUAGCUCUGGCCCGGGGCCUGAGAGUCUGCAUUUCUAGCUAGUUUUCAAGUGCUGCCUAU
rnacentral:pre_miRNA from 1 species